rnacentral:rRNA from 1 species
GACGAACCGUGCGAACGUUGUUCGGAAUCACUGGGCUUAAAGGGCGCGUAGGCGGGCCUCCAAGUCCGGGGUGAAAUCCUCCCGCCCAACGGGAGAAGGGCCUCGGAGACUGGGGGCCUCGAGGGGGGUAGGGGCAAGCGGAACUGUGGGUGGAGCGGUGAAAUGCAUUGAGAUCCACAGGAACUCCGGUGGCGAAGGCGGCUUGCUGGACCCCUUCUGACGCUGAGGCGCGAAAGCCAGGGGAGCGAACGGG